CAGUAGCCGCGGGAAUACGAAGGGGGCUAGCGUUACUCGGAAUUAUUGGGCGUAAAGGGCGCGUAGGCGGCACGAUUAGUCAGGCGUGAAAUUCCUGGGCUCAACCUGGGGACUGCGCUUGAUACGGUCGAGCUAGUGGAUGGAAGAGGGUUGUGGAAUUCCCAGUGUAGAGGUGAAAUUCGUAGAUAUUGGGAAGAACACCGGUGGCGAAGGCGGCAACCUGGUCCAUUACUGACGCUGAGGCGCGACAGCGUGGGGAGCAAACAGGAUUAGAUACCCCGGUAGUCCCUGUCUCUUAUAC
rnacentral:rRNA from 1 species